CCCCCGGCCUCCGAGUUGUAAUUUGGAGAGGCAUCUUCGGGGAGGGGGCGCUGGCCCAUGUUCCUUGGAACAGGACGUCGCAGAGGGUGAGAAUCCCGUGCCAGGCCGGCCGCCUCCGCCCCGGUGAAGGGCCUUCGACGAGUCGAGUUGUUUGGGAAUGCAGCUCCAAGUGGGUGGUAAAUUUCAUCUAAAGCUAAAUACCGGCGGGAGACCGAUAGCGCACAAGUAGAGUGAUCGAAAGAUGAAAAGCACUUUGAAAAUAGAGUCAAAAAGUACGUGAAAUUGUUGAAAGGGAAGCGCUUGAGACCAGACUCGGACCCGGGCAAACAUCGCGCCCCCAGGGGCCGUGCAAUUGCCUGGGGCCGGGCCAGCAUCGGUCGGCGUGGCGGGACAAAGGCGCGGGGAAUGUGGCUCCCCUCGGGGAGUGUUAUCAGGCCCGCGCCCAAUGCCGCCUACGCCGACUGAGGACCGCGCCGCCCGGCUAGGAUGCUGGCUUAAUGGCCUUCAGCGACCCGUCUUGAAACACGGA
rnacentral:rRNA from 1 species